GAGGGAGGAAUCUUGGUCUGGUUGUAGGGGUACAGUGAUCGGGUUAUGAUGGAUUUUCUCAAGUAAUCACCUCAUAACUCAGUCACGAUAUCCAUAUGACUCAGAUGGCUGCAGUUUUAGAC
rnacentral:precursor_RNA from 12 species